CCUUGGAAACAACAGCUGACAGCCGCAUCGGACAUUCAGCUUCCGAAAAACGUUCGAAAAACCGUUAAACUUACUUUUGGGUUUUUGGCGUUGGAGAACCAAGGCAUUUGAGAACCAAGACCAUGAAGAUCGAAACUAUAAGUGGAAAAUGACUGGAGGAGAAGGGGGCAGAAGCUGGAGAAAGAACUAUAUUUGGGUGCCUCGAGACAGAAGCCAUCUUCUAUUCCAUGAAGAGAAGCUGACCAAACUGCCUGUGAAAACCUAGGACACUGUUGAUGGGACAGUGUCUUCUCUUUGCAUCUGAGGAGAAGCUUACAGUUCAGGGCAGGUCACAUGGCAUACAUAGCUAUGUCCUCAAGCUUAUCACUGCUGCCAUUCACACACACACACACACACACACUACCAAAUGUGUUAUGUGAGACUGCCUCACUUUGCUGAAGAGCAUGGCUGGCCCUGUUCCCUCUUUUCUGGCAUUG